rnacentral:tRNA from 1 species
GCCUUCGUAGUGUAGUGGUCAGCAAGCUGGGUGCUUAUUUCAGAGGACCGUGGUUCGAGUCCUGGCGAACGCA